rnacentral:rRNA from 1 species
CCUACGGGUGGCAGCAGUGGGGGAUAUUGCACAAUGGGGGGAACCCUGAUGCAGCGACGCCGCGUGGGUGAAGGAGCGUUUCGGCGCGUAAAGCCCUAUCGGCAGGGAAGAAGAUGACGGUACCUGGCCAAGAAGCCCCGGAUAACUACGUGCCAGCAGCCGCGGGAAUACGUAGGGGGCAGGCGUUAUCCGGAUGUACUGGGCGUGAAGGGGGCGCAGACGGCAAUGCAAGCCAGGAGUGAAAGCCCGGGGCCCAAACCCGGGACUGCUGUUGAAACUGCAUGGCUGGAGUACGGGAGGGGCAGGCGGAAUUCGUAGUGUAGCGGUGAAAUGCGUAGAUAUUAGGAGGAACACCGGUGGCGAAGGCGGCCUGCUGGACUGUGACUGACGUUGAGGCCCGAAGGCGUGGGGAGCGAACAGGAUUAGAUACCCCUGUAGUC